rnacentral:rRNA from 1 species
AUGUCGUUGGUGGAUCUACAGCUCUGGAUCUUCAAGCUGUUUCGGCUCCAUCCAGAAACACAAGAUCUCGCCAUUAAGGGGUUCAUCAAACAACGCAAAACUGACUUGUUCGACGACUUCGAACCUGACUGGUAUAUGGAGUACUGCCCUUGGGACACAUGUUACUUUCAAACUGACAAGUGCUGGAGUGCCUUUGCCAAUAAAUUAAAGCGGAAAAGGAAUGUGAUGCAAAAGUUCAUGUUGUAUGCAGAAUGCUCUGAGAUCAAGCACUAUGCUAUUUUGCUCAAAGCCGUGCAUGAUGAUUACUCUCAGUUGGCACGGGUUGUGUUUCCUGGGACGAAAUGCCUGACAAUUUCUAACUUCCGCUUCCUCCGCCUAGUGGAAGACCUGUCAAUGACACCUAAGGAAAUUAUAGCUUAUCUCGCUCAACACUAUGGCGAGCAGAUGAACCCCCUUGAGGCGUGGAGGGCUAGACAGAAGGCUCUGGAGCGGGAGUUUGGUACAUUUUACGAUUCACACAACUUUGCCCCAAGGUUACUUAAGGACAUAACAUGUAAAACCCCUUGGGGUUUUGUAGACAUCAAGGAUGCAGAGGUUGCAGGAUGUGACAACUUUCGAGUCCUUCACCAUAUAUUUUGGGCUUUUGGGCAGUGCGUGCAGGCCUUCAAUCAUUGUCGCCCUGUGCUAUGCAUUAAAGGCACACCACUAUGCGGGAAAUAUCAAGAGGUGCUGUUGACUGCUGUAGCAUUAGAUGCUAAUGGUUACUCCAUUCCAGUAGCAUGUGCCGUCGUUGAGGGGGAGACCAAGGAAAGCUGGAUGUGGUUUCUUAGGAAUUUGGAGCAACCAGUGAGGCAUCCAUCGGAUGUUUGCAUUAUACAUGACUACAAAAGAGAGGUGAUCGAUGCUAUAGAGGACUUUCUAAGUUCCGAUCGGCGACAAUGGGGGAAAGUAGAAAGCCGGUGGUGCAUGGAACACCUUGCCGAAGACUUCUUUGCAUAUUUUGGUGACAAGAACCUGGUGUUGAUGUUCAAGAAACUUUGUCAGCAGAGGCGACUAAAUAAGUUUGUUAAAAUCUGGAAGGAGCUCGAUGAGUUGACAACAAAAUAUACAGCAGAGAGAGAAGGUGGUACUAGUGGGGAAAUGCAGCAAGAGUUAGUCCAGCAUGAUGAGGUAGACCUGGUGGCACAACGCCUGUGGAACCGACCUGAUUCAGUGGACUCUGAAGAGGAAUGA